rnacentral:rRNA from 1 species
GACGAACGCUGGCGGCGUGCCUAAUACAUGCAAGUUGAGCGCUGAAGGUUGGUACUUGUACCAACUGGAUGAGCAGCGAACGGGUGAGUAACGCGUGGGGAAUCUGCCUUUGAGCGGGGGACAACAUUUGGAAACGAAUGCUAAUACCGCAUAAAAACUUUAAACACAAGUUUUAAGUUUGAAAGAUGCAAUUGCAUCACUCAAAGAUGAUCCCGCGUUGUAUUAGCUAGUUGGUGAGGUAAAGGCUCACCAAGGCGAUGAUACAUAGCCGACCUGAGAAGGUGAUCGGCCACAUUGGGACUGAGACACGGCCCAAACUCCUACGGGAGGCAGCAGUAGGGAAUCUUCGGCAAUGGACGAAAGUCUGACCGAGCAACGCCGCGUGAGUGAAGAAGGGUUUCGGAUCGUAAAACUCUGUUGGUAGAGAAGAACGUUGGUGAGAGUGGAAAGCUCAUCAAGUGACGGUAACUACCCAGAAAGGGACGGCUAACUACGUG